GAUCCUGGCUCAGGAUGAACGCUAGCUACAGGCUUAACACAUGCAAGUCGGGGGGCGAGCAUGGUCUUAGCUUGCUAAGGCCGAUGGCGACCGGCGCACGGGUGAGUAACACGUAUCCAACCUGCCGUCUACUCUUGGACAGCCUUCUGAAAGGAAGAUUAAUACAAGAUGGCAUCAUGAGUCCGCAUGUUCACAUGAUUAAAGUAGUUCGUUACGGAGA
rnacentral:rRNA from 1 species